rnacentral:rRNA from 1 species
CCUACGGGAGGCAGCAGUGGGGAAUAUUGGGCAAUGGGCGCAAGCCUGACCCAGCAACGCCGCGUGAAGGAAGAAGGCUUUCGGGUUGUAAACUUCUUUUCUGAGGGACGAAGAAAGUGACGGUACCUCAGGAAUAAGCCACGGCUAACUACGUGCCAGCAGCCGCGGUAAUACGUAGGUGGCAAGCGUUAUCCGGAGUUAUUGGGUGUAAAGGGGGUGUAGGCGGGAAUGCAAGUCAGAUGUGAAAACUCAGGGCUCAACCCGGAGCCUGAAUUUGAAACUGUUUUUCUUGAGUACUGGAGAGGCAAUCGGAAUUCCGUGUGUAGCGGUGAAAUGCGUAGAUAUACGGAGGAACACCGAUGGCGAAGGCGGAUUGCUGGACAGUAACUGACGCUGAGGCGCGAAAGCGUGGGGAGCAAACAGGAUUAGAUACCCCUGUAGUC